ACACUCCUACGGGAGGCAGCAGUGGGGAAUUUUGGACAAUGGGCGAAAGCCUGAUCCAGCAAUGCCGCGUGAGUGAAGAAGGCCUUCGGGUUGUAAAGCUCUUUUGUCAGGGAAGAAACGGUGAGAGCUAAUAUCUUUUGCUAAUGACGGUACCUGAAGAAUAAGCACCGGCUAACUACGUGCCAGCAGCCGCGGUAAUACGUAGGGUGCAAGCGUUAAUCGGAAUUACUGGGCGUAAAUCGUGCGCAGGCGGUUUUGUAAGUCUGAUGUGAAAUCCCCGGGCUCAACCUGGGAAUUGCAUUGGAGACUGCAAGGCUAGAAUCUGGCAGAGGGGGGUAGAAUUCCACGUGUAGCAGUGAAAUGCGUAGAUAUGUGGAGGAACACCGAUGGCGAAGGCAGCCCCCUGGGUCAAGAUUGACGCUCAUGCACGAAAGCGUGGGGAGCAAACAGGAUUAGAAACCCGGGUAGUCCCA
rnacentral:rRNA from 1 species